rnacentral:rRNA from 1 species
ACAUGCCUACAACAUAGCGUUAAUGCAUCAAAUCCCAUUAGAACUCCGCAGUUAAGCGCGCUCAGGCUAGAGUAGUACUGGGAUGGGUGACCGCUCGAGAAGUCCUAGUGUUUUACAUGCC